GCAGCCAACUAUCAGGGUGAUUUCAACGGCCGAUCUCCAUCGCUCAGUCUUCGAACGUUCGAACAGCUAGUGAGGUGCUUGGGCCGAUUGACUGUUCCGGUUGUUGACGCAGGGCAUUUUGCGUAAGAAGAUGUGCAGCAAAACGAUCAUUCUCAUUGUAAGUAUGGCCAUCAUAGUCCAAAUGGCGAAGUCUGAGUGUCGGAAACCUGAAAAGUUCAAGACCCCGGAGGAGGUGCAGAAAUAUAUAAUAUGCAUCAACAACGGAAUGAGAUAUGGUAAGCGGUCGUAUAUCAAUCAAAGAAGGAUGGAGGCGCAGCCAUGGAAAUUUUUGAACUACGACGACCAGGCUAAUGAAGAACGGAGAUUGUACUACGACUUUUUGAUGUCUUCUGACAAAAGAAUAUAAGCGUCAUCAUCCUUUGUUACUUCAACUCAACAAUAACAUCCGUAUAAAUUCAGUAUUAUUAUGAUUUGUAAUUUUGUAGUUGCUAGAUAAAUCAUUGGCUAAGUUGAAAUGUAUAAGAAAUGUGUAUGAAUAAAUCUGAUCUGUGUUAGCAUGAAUUUUUACGAAAUUGUAUUUCAUUCAUUUUUUUAACCAAAAUAAAACUAUUACAUGGAA